AGAGGGGUGCGAGCGUUAAUCGGAAUUACUGGGCGUAAAGGGCGCGUAGGUGGAAUGAUAAGUUGGGAUGCGAAAGCCCCGGGCUCAACCUGGGACGGUCAUCCAAAACUGUUGUUCUAGAGUACAGUAGAGGGAAGUGGAAUUUCCGGUGUAGCGGUGAAAUGCGUAGAUAUCGGAAGGAACAUCAGUGGCGAAGGCGACUUCCUGGACUGACACUGACACUGAGGCGCGAAAGCGUGGGGAGCGAACAGGAUUAGAUACCCUGGUAGUCCACGCCGUAAACGAUGAAAACUAGCCGUUGGGGGACUUAAGAGCCCUUAGUGGCGCAGCUAACGCGAUAAGUUUUCCGCCUGGGGAGUACGACCGCAAGGUUA
rnacentral:rRNA from 1 species